UGAAUCUAGCCAAGACACCAGACCACC
rnacentral:piRNA from 1 species